rnacentral:rRNA from 1 species
CCCUUAGAUGUUCUGGGCCGCACGCGCGCUACACUGAUACGUUCAACAAGUUUAGAACCUUGACUGAGAGGUCUGGGUAAUCUUUUGAAUGCGUAUCGUGUUAGGGAUAGAUUAUUGCAAUUAUUAAUCUUGAACGAGGAAUUCCUAGUAAACGCAAGUCAUCAGCUUGCAUUGAUUACGUCCCUGCCCUUUGUACACACCGCCCGUCGCUCCUACCGAUUGAGUGGUCCGGUGAGGCUUUGGGAUCUGAGCGGAAAGAGCGUUUCGCUGUUUCUGCUCGGAAAACUCAGUCGAACCUUAUCAUUUAGAGGAAGGAGAAGUCGUAACA